AAGUCCCGUAACGAGCGCAACCCUUGUCUUCUGUUGCCAUCGGGUUAUGCCGGGCACUCUGAAGAGACUGCCGGUGACAAACCGGAGGAAGGUGGGGACGACGUCACGUCAUCAUGGCCCUUAUGUCCAGGGCCACACACGUGCUACAAUGGGCGGUACAAAGGGUUGCAAACCCGCGAGGGGGAGCUAAUCCCAAAAAGCCGCUCUCAGUUCGGAUUGGAGUCUGCAACUCGACUCCAUGAAGUUGGAAUCGCUAGUAAUCGCGGAUCAGCACGCCGCGGUGAAUACGUUCCCGGGCCUUGUACACACCGCCCGU
rnacentral:rRNA from 1 species